rnacentral:lncRNA from 1 species
AAAUAUAAAAGUUAAUCUGAUGAUAUAUAAAAAAAUAGAGAUAAUAUAUAAUAGAUAACAAGUGUUGUAAUGUAAUGCUCAGUGCUUAAGAAUGAUUGACAGGCAGAGAAUCUUCAGAGAUGGCAGGGGAAAGAUUCCAAACAGUUGGAGGGACAGUUAGCUGGUCUCUCUCUGAGGUUGGCAACUAACAAAGAAGCGGGAGGUGGCUGAUCUCUGCUCCUGUGGACAUCUUUGGAUCAUCACAAGCAGUCCUCUGAAGCAGGAGUGGAUAGGAGGUUUUCAAUAUCCUUGGGUGGACUAAGGAACAAUAUUGGGAGCUCCAGCUAUUCUCUGGACCACGUAGGACUCCUCAUCUGGACUUCAGCCACUACUUGCCAAAAGCUGAAGCAAUGGGAGUUUAGUUCCCAUUCCAAGGAAACAGGAAAACCCAGAAACUCAGGUCAACUUCCAGAACAGGUAUGGGACUAGGAUGAGUGAAGUUCAUCAGCUCUUGUGGCCUCCCUCCAUCUCCUAGUGUCUGGCUAGCUGAUAUGGAUGGUCACCCAGAAUUCAACCUGUUGUAAAAUUAAAGAAGAAAAUACAGGGCAGAGGAUAAAAUCUCACCCGAAAAGGAACUGGCAGAACUCUCCAUCCUGGGACUCUAGAGCAAACAGACCUGUGUCCAGGGAUCCCUGCACAAUCACAGGCUGGCAAGGGAAUUGGGUAACCAGGGAGCACGUGCUCCAGGGCAAAGCUUCACAAACACUGUUGGCAGAGCUGUCUGGAAGAUGGAGUCAGAUCUGACUAGAGCUGAAGGGUAAGAGAAAAUCCCCUUCAAUCUCUUUCUUCUUUAGUUGAUGUAGUUGUAAUCCCCGUCCAGUACGUUUAAGAUGUCUGAGUUCUCUAUAAGUUGAAAAUAGCUAUUUAUUAGAUAAAGGGGUUGAGUAUAAAUUAGGAAAGAGGAAACAGGGAGUCCUUGAGCUAUCUCCCUCCGAUAGAUGUCUUCAGGGAUUUGAGGCACAAGUUUGGGAACUAAGUCCCAGGCGAUCUUAAUGUCUUUGUCGGUUCAAGAUGAUGGUAUUUCUUGUCACAAAGAUAUAGCUUGAAUGAGUCUUCUGAAGGAUAGGCUAUUU